rnacentral:rRNA from 1 species
GUCCACGCCGUAAACGAUGUCAACUAGCCGUUGGCUCUCUUAGAGAGUUAGUGGCGCAGCUAACGCAUUAAGUUGACCGCCUGGGGAGUACGGCCGCAAGGUUAAAACUCAAAUGAAUUGACGGGGGCCCGCACAAGCGGUGGAGCAUGUGGUUUAAUUCGAUGCAACGCGAAGAACCUUACCUACCCUUGACAUCCAGAGAAUCUGUUAGAGAUAGUAGAGUGCCUUCGGGAACUCUGAGACAGGUGCUGCAUGGCUGUCGU